GAUGAACGCUAGCGGCAGGCUUAACACAUGCAAGUCGAGGGGCAGCAUAAACAUUGCUUGCAAUGUUUGAUGGCGACCGGCGCACGGGUGCGUAACGCGUAUGUAACCUACCUCAAACAGGGGCAUAACACUGAGAAAUUGGUACUAAUUCCCCAUAACACCUUGGGAGGCAUCUCCUUAGGUUGAAAGUUCCGGCGGUUUGAGAUGGACAUGCGUUGUAUUAGCUAGUUGGUGAGGUAACGGCUCACCAAGGCGACGAUACAUAGGGGGACUGAGAGGUUAACCCCCCACAUUGGUACUGAGACACGGUCCAGACUCCUACGGGAGGCAGCAGUGAGGAAUAUUGGUCAAUGGGCGCGAGCCUGACCCAGCAACGCCGCGUGAAGGAAGAAGGCCUUCGGGUUGUAAACUUCUUUUACCAGGGACGAAGAACGUGACGGUACCUGGAGAAAAAGCAACGGCUAACUACGUG
rnacentral:rRNA from 1 species